UACGAAGGGGGCUAGCGUUGCUCGGAAUUACUGGGCGUAAAGCGCACGUAGGCGGAUCAUUAAGUCGGGGGUGAAAUCCUGGAGCUCAACUCCAGAACUGCCCUCGAUACUGGCGAUCUUGAGUCCGGGAGAGGUGAGUGGAACUCCGAGUGUAGAGGUGAAAUUCGUAGAUAUUCGGAAGAACACCAGUGGCGAAGGCGGCUCACUGGCCCGGUACUGACGCUGAGGUGCGAAAGCGUGGGGAGCAAACAGG
rnacentral:rRNA from 1 species